rnacentral:tRNA from 1 species
CUGGCGUUACGGCAAAAGCACCAGCAGUAUCGGACUCGUAAUCCGUGGGUCGUGGGUUCAAGUCCCACCCGCCCUA